rnacentral:rRNA from 1 species
CCUACGGGAGGCAGCAGGUGGGGAAUAUUGGACAAUGGGCGAAAGCCUGAUCCAGCAAUGCCGCGUGAGUGAUGAAGGCCUUAGGGUUGUAAAGCUCUUUUACCCGGGAUGAUAAUGACAGUACCGGGAGAAUAAGCUCCGGCUAACUCCGUGCCAGCAGCCGCGGUAAUACGGAGGGAGCUAGCGUUAUUCGGAAUUACUGGGCGUAAAGCGCACGUAGGCGGCUUUGUAAGUAAGAGGUGAAACGCCUGGUGCUACAACACCAGAACUGCCUUUUAGACUGCAUCGCUUGAAUCCAGGAGAGGUGAGUGGAAUUCCGAGUGUAGAGGUGAAAUUCGUAGAUAUUCGGAAGAACACCAGUGGCGAAGGCGGCUCACUGGACUGGUAUUGACGCUGAGGUGCGAAAGCGUGGGGAGCAAACAGGAUUACGAUACCCUGGUAGUCCACGCCGUAAACGAUGAUAACUAGCUGUCGGGGCUCUUAAGNGUCGUCGGUGCGCAGACUACGACAUUAAGUUACGUCCGUCCGUCGGGAGGUACGGACCGACGAACGUUAAACGUAACGUAAAGUAAGUUAGUUAGUACGUUGAGAGACGCGACGACGACGACGAGGAGGAGG